UGCUAGGAAGCGAGCCUGCGGGAAGGAGCGGGCCAGCUGGUUCCGGUCUGAGGAGACACUGAAAAAAGGGGGAACUGAGAGGACGUUGGAAGAGGAAGAUGCCUAGUACGGACCUUCUGAUGUUGAAGAACUUUGAGCCUUACUUCGAGAUUUUGGAAGCAUAUUCCACAAAAGCCAAGAAUUAUGUAAAUGGGUAUUGCACCAAAUAUGAGCCCUGGCAGCUAAUUGCAUGGAGUGUCCUGUGGACCCUGCUGAUAGUUUGGGCAUAUGGGUUUAUCUUCCAGCCGGAGAGCUUAUGGUCAAGGUUUAAAAAGAAAUUUUUUAGGCUCGUGAGGAAGAUGCCGUUUCUUGGUAAGAAGGUAAGUGGUUGCUACCUAGGCCUUUCUUCCCACCUUGGUAAUCAUAACUCUUUCUUCCUAUUUGCUAAACUUGCUAUGCGCAGAGGAGAGGCUGAUCCUGUCUCCCAUCUCCAGGGGAUCUUGGCAGUGUUUGGAAACAGUCCAGGUUGCUGUGACUCCGGUGCAGUACGGCUGGCAUCUAGUGGGUAG
rnacentral:lncRNA from 1 species